rnacentral:lncRNA from 1 species
UGAUGUUAGAUCAAAUCUUCAAAGGGUGAUAUACCCCAUUUUCUUGCAGACAAACUGAAGAAGCUCCAUUGUGAAGGGACCUUAAAUGACUUUCUGGGAGAGGCAACUAUCCUUUGGACAAGUGAAGAAACUGAAUCCAGAUAAUGAACACCUUGACUCUUCUGGUGGGCAAAACUCACAACAGCACUCAGGAUAAGAUGGAAAGCUGCUGGAAUGCUGGGAAUUGGAUUGGAUUUCCCUUUGAAGAUAAAUACAGGAGACAAGUAUGGUUAUUGAUUCAGCCGUACUUCUGUAAAGACAAACAGCCGAAUUCUCUGCCUUCCUCUGACACAAGUGACCACAGUGACUUCAUCCAGCAGCAGAAAGUUGGAGAAAAUCUCUGAUAAUGAGCACACUGGGGACUGCGUUAACACUUGGCCAAGCAUGGAGCCUGUGCUCAGAGUCACUUACCACUGUCCCAGUGGCUGACAAUUAAGGUUGUGCUCUGAUGCAAGUUCAGUUCAUACCAUGGAGGCUUUCUGAAGAGGAAAAAGCCUGACUGUAUCUGUAGGUCCAAGAUCAUCAUUCAGCUUGAGUAGAGGCAGGAAAGAGCUCUUCACCAGGAAAUGUAUCCCUACUUGUCUUUUUCUAGGGAACUGAG